AAUGGUGGGACUUAUAAAAAGAAGACGGGGGUAAAAUUAUUAGUAUCUUUGGCUAUUUACCAAGCUUUGGGAGCAAGGAUCCAUAAAACUAACCUUCGGGAUUGAAGAUUUUGAGCCAAGCUUCUGAGAAUUUCUUUCUCCUUUCUUUAAUUCCUUGUCUUGGAUUGCUAUAUUUGGUUUGGUUGAUGUAAUUUCAGGUUUGGAUUUUGUAAUAGGGAUAUUUCAAUAUUAGGGUCUUGAUUUUAAUGUUUUGUUGCUUUUGUAGUAAUUGAAUCUUGCUUAUUUAUGAAAUGGGUCUUUAGCUUAUUUGAUUAAUCUUGUGCUUUAUUGCUUUCAAAGAGAGUAGCUAACUCUAGGACAUCCCCAAUUGACAUGAUUCACCUUGGGAAAGAGAAUUAGGUUCGGCCUUAGAUUAAUUGACGAGAUUCUAGGUUAAUUGAGGAAUUGAUUAAUCCUAGUCUAGUGAUUGAGGUUAGGGAUAGCCCUUCACGCUCGUAGCCUAAAGUUGGAUUGCACUUAAUGCAACUUGGUUAGAUUAGGGAUAAUCAACCGGGUUAAACUCAUUAUUUGUUGAGAAACGGUAGUGGUAAUCGAGUUUUAAGGCUAAUGACCUAGACCUAUGAUUAAUUAGCAAGAGUUGAUUAAAUACAUUAGAUUAAUCUUGACAUUAAAGUCUUCCCUGUUAUCCAUAUUCUCUUAUUUUCCUUGCUUGUGUGAAUGCCAUUGAUCACUUUAUUUGCUUUCUUAGAGUAGAUCUUAUUUUUCUUAGGUUUUAGUCCUCAUCAACCUUUUAUAAAGUGUUUGGCUUAGCUAAAUUGGUGACAAUUCCUCACUAGCUUGACCGCCCAUAUAUUGUUCUCUGUGGAUUUGGACAUCAUCAAAAUUGGCGCUGUUGCCGGGAACAAUUGGCGUAUUAUGUUAGUCUAAGAAGUUAACCAACUGGCUUUGGUCCAAACGUUGUGAUUAUUUGUUUAAGUGUUUGUGUUUUGUGAAUACGUGUUUUGUGAUUUUUCGUGUUUCUUUUGUGCUAGUUUAGUUUUGUUUUUGUUUCUUGUUUUGUUAUGACAUCUUGGAAUGAAAAUGGGUUGGAUGGUUGCAAUCUUUAUUUUGAUGACCUAUGUCCUUAUUGUGGAGGAUCCCACUAUUGGAAAACUUGUCAAAGAGUUCCUAGGAGCGAGAUGUGUGCACCAUCUAAAUCCUAUGAGGGAAAUGGUUGUUAUUUGUGUGGUGGUGUAGAUGGUCAUUUGGACUAUUGUCCAAAGUAUUUUGCCCCUCCCCCAAGUUAUUCCUACGGAAGUGCUAAUUAUUCUAGUAAUUUUGAUAGGGAUAAUGAAGCGGCAAAUGAGGGAUAUAGUGUCGAGUUUCAAGGAAUUCAAGAAAUGUUCCAACUCUAUAUGGAGCCGGAGGCCAAAAUGGACAAAAUGCAAGAGGAUAUUCAACAAAAGAUUUUGGCCAAUAACACUAUGUUAGAAACGUGAAAAAGAAGGUUGAGGAAAUCAACGCCUCAGAAGGCAUGGAUUUGUCUAGUUCUCUAGAGGUUGUAAUUGAAAAAGAGAUUUCAAGCCUAAUGAAAGAGUCCACUUUGGUUGAUGAGCGUGAAGAAAUUUGUGAAAAUGAAAGUGUGGUUCAAUUUGUGGAAGUGCAAGGUGAAGAAGGAAUCUCCAAUGCUCAAAAGGAGGAAAAUUGAGGAAAUGUUGAGAGGCAUAAUGGGGAGAGACAAAAGAUGGAGACAGAUCUUGCGAAGUUGGUGGGAGAAAUUCCAACAAGGUGAUGAAGCCGUACAAGGCAUGGAUUGUACUAUGGAAGCACUUAUACAAGCCUUGAUCGAGUUUGAAGAAAAAGCUAAAAAAGUAAAGAUUUUGAGCGAAGAAUGGCUAAUGAAUCAAGCUCAACAACUUGGAGUUUGUAGGGAUCAUCGUGAAGGCAUUUCAAGGAUGUUGGAGGAAUUUUUGGAAAGAAAUAUUGAGCAAGGACAAGAAUUGGAGCAACUUGGAAUUGCUAUUCGUGACUUGAGGGCUAUUUUGAGUGCAAAAGUUAAGGCAUGUAAUGCUAAACUUCUAGUGGGUGUGGAAUGUGGAUAGUGGUUUUGAGUUGUGUGACAUUGACAAUGAGGUCGAGAUUCAAGUUGAAGAGCUAACUGUAGAAUUUCAAUCUUUCGACCCCAAGAUAGUUGGUGAUGCCGAGAUUAAAAAAUUCUAGUACAUGUGCAAAUAUGGAUGUCAACAGUCGUGAAAUUUUGGAGUUUGAGCCCAUUGGACCUCAUUCUAUCCGUUUUCCAACAUUAUAUUUGGUUGGUGAUAUGGAAAUUGAGCUAACCGAGCCUAUGGAGGAAUUUGGAGAUGAAGAACAAGUUGCUUAUAUUUUGAAGUUUGCCAUGCUUAUAAGACAAAAGGACAUCCUUCAUUUGAAGGCUAAAAAGUGCAAGAUGCGACACCGGGUAGUUGGCCUCUUUUAUUUUGUACCACCGCCGCAAGAGCAUAGCCGUAAACCUGAUUUGAAGUUGGGGACCCAAUUCAUAUCCUCAAAGUGGAAAGAAAAGUGUUUAUUUGGUUCAUGUCGUGCCACGACCUUAAAUGCGGCGCUUCAUGGGAGGCAACCCAUGUUUUCUUUCAUUUUCAACUGAGUAAUCUGAUUUUAGUUUUUAGUUAUGUUUCUCUUAAUAUUUUAAGUCACUCUACUGAAUUUCAUCUCAUUUGGCAUUGUAUUGCACAGUUUAAGAGGUGGGCUUGUUUUUAGAAAAAAAAAAGUGCAGAAAACUGCCUAGAGUUCCAGAUGCAGGCAUUUAAAAGACAAAAAAAAAAACUGAAGCACCUCUCAUUUGGUCAAAUAUCUUCAAACAUGUGCCGAGCCCUUCUCCCUCAAAGCUCUCUAAAUCCUUGCAACUGGCACUCCACAUUCAUUCCUUACUGAUACUUCUCCAUUCUUCAUCUCUGUAAGUGGAGUUCCAGAAUUACGAGAUUCAUUUGGCAGUCCCCUUCUUUCUCAAUUUAAUUUUCGAUCUCCUAGUUUCAGGUAUGGCUUCUAUUUCUCUUCUGUUCUCAUUUUUUUUUACUCUCUUUCUUCCUUCUUAUUCUCUUUCUUGUGAACCUAAACUAGUUUGAAAGCCAUGAAUAUCUGAGUGUGUUUUUAUAUAUGGCCGAAUUGGGCUCAAUUUAUGGUUUGAAUGGUGGUACAGUUUGUGCAAUUUGAUUUUCUGUGGUGAGGAUUUGGUUUAGUGAUUGUGUGUGCUAUUGUUUAUGAAACAAAGUGGGGGAAUUCUGAGUACCUCUCUUCUCUUAAAUCAACUGAUUUGAACUAUGACCACAAUGUGUUCGACAAAUUUUCACCGGAGGAAUUUGAACUAUUCAGUGAAGUCUGAGUGACCAAAGGCUUAGUAAUAGUUCCUAGAAUUGAAUAUGGGAUGGGGGCGAGCUACACAAACUAAUUCUGUGACUGCUUGUGUGAAGCCAAGAGUGUGUUCAUAGUGUGAGCUGCUUUAGAAUGAUCCGCGACUGUACUGAAUGAGUUAUCCCAGCUCGCAAGAUGUUCUUGCAUGUGUAAUUCAAACUAUAGUGCUUAUGAAUGUGCCGAAUGUCAUUUGGAAUAGGCUAUUCCUACUUUAAGUUCACUUGCAUUUUUCACUCUACUUGAGAGAUGAAUGAUCAUGAAUGAGGCUUCAUGUCGAGAACUGCAAUGCAAAUUGAAAGUUGCGAUUUACAAUAUCCUGAGAGAAUAGAAGUUAUCCUGAGACGUUUAACUGAGUUGUAGGAAUUGUGCUUAACGUAAAAUGCUUCUUGUUCUCUCAAAUUGAAUUGGCUUAGGGCAUGAACUAAAUGUGGGAUGUUUCAGUUCUCAUGACUUUUUGGUGAUUAUUAAUUGAGAUGCUAUGCUAUAUCCUGAUACUGCAGCCUUAGUUGAUUCAUAUUACCGAUCUGAGUCUGCAUGCUAAUUGUAUUACUGAGUGAGUGGAAGGAUUAAGCCUGGUUAACUUAGCAGUUAGCACCUGGAGCUUGGAAUUCAGUUGUUAUUCAUACUUAGAUUGAUUAAAUUGGAGGGGAAGUCCAAGUACCUUUCUUGCCUGAAAUGACCAAGCAAAUUGUUUCUUUGGUUCCUAUUAGUCAACUGUGUGGCUGCAUAAAUGAAAGCUAUUUCACAUCUAUGUAACAUUUCAAUGUGCUUGCAUGGAUUAUAGUUACCUUUUGCUCUUGUUUUGGUAUGUGGGCUGAUUCAUACAUUAAUGUGCAAGGUAUAAAUUUGUGAGUGAAACUGUGUAAAAAGUACUUCUUGUGGAAAGUGAAAGUAUCUGAGACUUGAAUUGUGAGCUAAAGACCUAUCAGUGGUGAUAGAAAGUAUGCUUUAUUUGUUGCGAAGCUUUUGUGAGUCCUUUUGAUGUGAUGACAGUGGUUUUAGAGUUGGCAGGAAACAAUAAGUUUUCAUAUAUCAAGUAAGAACAUUUCUCUGGCAUUAAUGGUGUCCGAUACAUUACUCUAGUUGCUUGUACCUUAUUCUCACAUGUCAUUUCAUUUUUCAGGUACUUCUUAACAUUAAAUGGCCUCUAGUGCAUUCGAAAUAGCUCAAGGAGCAGAAAGAAGACAAAUUCUCGGACACACAUCGUUUCAGGGAGUCCCUCUACUUUGCUUUUAUUGUUAGUUGCAUCGAGGACAAUACCACAUUUUAAGUUGGGGGGAGGAGCUUAAUUGUCUUUGGGGGAAGCUAUUUGAGCUAAAUUGACUUGAUUUGACUUUUUGUGAGAUGACUUGGUUAUUUAACUUUAUUUACAGUUUUUAAUAGUUCUUUUUUCUUUAUUUUUUUUAAGUCAACUUCUUUUGUUAUCUUAUUAGUAACUAGUAAUGAAUAAAUGGUGUUGGUUGUAAUUUUUGCCCCUUAUCCAACUUGUGGCUUGUUUGGUACCAACAUACUUAAACUUUGGCAUGUGAAUUGUAUUUUGAAAAUGAAAGAAAAUUAAAGUGAUGAUGUUUGUUGUGAUCUUUAGGCUCGAUUUUUGGCUCUUUGUUCACUAAAUAGUCUCUUUAGACUAUAAGUAGUUUUUUGAGUUUAAUUGUUCUUAAUUGGGAUUUGAAGACACAUAUCCUACUUGCUUUCCAUGUGCCAAUGUGUGGUGAGAAUUUUGUUAGUUCUUUGCUUUACUUAUGAUCUAAAACUUGCCCCAAAUGUGAUUUGAAGCGAAAUCAUAGGCUUUACUUGGCUUGAAAAAGGAUUUUACGCCUUCUUUGGACCAUGUGUGCCUUAAUGUUCCUACCUUUGCAUGUGUUCCCUACAGUGUUAUAAAUAGCGCUCGCUACAACGCUAAAAGCGUGUAGCGACGCGAGGCGAGGGUGUGUCGCUUCAGAGCAUCUGUUGCGUUGCGAUUCAAAAUAGCGGCCGCCUCUCUCUGUGUUGCGUGAGGCAACAGUGUCGUGAAAAGCUACUGUAGCGUCGCUAUUUUUUAAAAAAAAAAAAGGGAAAGGGAGAAGACUUAAGUCGGGAAUUAGGGCUUCGAGCUUUUCACCUGCGAACAAAAAAACAAAGCUUCAGCGAUUAGGGCUUUUCACCUGCGAACAAACCAACAGUCUUCUUCAGUCUUGUUCUUCAUCAUCUGGCUUCAUCUUCUUCAAGCUUCAACAGCGAAAAAACAGAGCGUUGAAAAUUGAAAUGGCGUCAUCCGAUAGUAAUAAACGAAAUGAUAUAGCUUGGAAUUAUGCUAUACAAGGCUCAUCAAGAUUCGCAAUUAAAUGUGUGUUUUGUGAAAAAAAUAUAUCAUGGUGGGAUAACUCGUCACAAGCAACAUUUGAUAUGUGGAUUUAAAAAUGUAAUACAAUGUCCCCUUUGUCCGCCCGAGGUUAGGGAGGAAGUAAAAGCGUUUGUUGAAAAGAAAAAUGUGGCAAGAACUCAAAUGAAUUAUGAAACAUUGAUGAAGAUGAUGAAAUGGAUGAAGAAGGUGAAAUGGGACCUCCCGACUCAUAAGAUAAAUUCAAAUACUUCUAGUGGGUCAUCCACGUCACGUACGAUGACAAAAGGUCCUCAUAAUCUUUAUUUCUCGGCAAAACAACAAGAAAGGGGAAAAGGUGAAGAAGGUUCAGGUUUAGAAGCCAAGAAGAUUUUGAGGGAUCGCGCCGUCAGUGCCUUUGCAUCAUGGAUGUGCGAUGCAGGGCUUCCUUUCAACUAUGUUAACUACAAUAGUUUUGAUAAAUUCAUUAAGGCCGUAGGACAAUAUGGCCCAGGAAUGAAGCCUCUUAGCUAUCAUGAAGUUAGAGUAACUCAUCUUAAAAAGGAGGUGAAGAAGAUAGACCAAAUUAUUGAGGAGCAUAAAGUAGAAUGGAACAGGUUUGGAUGUUCCAUUAUGAUGGGUAAAUGGACAACACAGAAUGUAAAAAUGAUCGUAAAUGUGUUGGUGAACUCUCCAAGAGGGAGUAUUUUUCUUGAAUCUGACGAUGCUAGCAACUCUUCUGCGGAUGGAAGCAAAAUGUACAGCUUGUUUAGAAAGACUAUUGAUAAAAUUGGAAAGUGAAAUGUUGUACAAAUUGUUACAAAUAACGCUAGUGAGAAUGUUAGUGCGGGGAAGAUGAUGGAAGCUAUGUAUCCAAACAUUUAUUGGACUCCAUGUGUUGCCCAUUGUAUCAACUUGAUGUUUGGUGACAUAUUCAAGGAAAACCCAUAUGCUUAAGUUUUCACUAAAGCCGUCAAGGUAUAUUCUUACAUCAAUCAGAGGUCGUCGUCGUUGAAUUUGAUGAGGAAAUUCACAAAUGAAAGAAAUUUGGUGAGACCGGCCAAGACUAGAUUUGCAACGACUUUCUUAACUUUGCAUAGUUUUUACUUGGAAAAAAUAAAUUUGAGAAAGCUAGUUCUUUCGAAUGAAUGGAAAGAUAAUAAAUAUGCAAAGGAAGCUGCGGGGAAAGAAACUGCCAAAGUUCUUAUUUCUCCAUCAUUCUGGAAUGACGUCGUUCGGGCUCUUAAAGUUGGUGGUCCUUUGAUUAGGGUGCUUCGUAUGGUGGAUGGGGAGAAAAAACUACCAAUGGGCUAUCUUUAUGAAGCUAUGGAUAGAGCCAAAGAGAGUAUUGCAGCGUCAUUUGAGGGAGAUGUUAGGAAAUAUGAGAAAGUUUUUGAGAUAAUUGAUACCAGGUGGAACAAUCAACUCCAUCGACCUUUGCAUGCAGCAGGCCAUCUUCUGAACCCGGGAUUAUUUUACAAGAACACUAGAGAUGAAACUUUGGAUUCAGAGGUGUGAAUUGGAUACCAUGCAUGUCUUGAGAAGUUGAUCCCUAAUUCAGCGACGAUAGAUCAAAUAGGGGAGGAGUUUGGUAAGUACUCACAAGCAGAGGGCCUAUUUGGUUUACCGGCCGCCAUUAGAGCCAGAGACAUAAGGUCGCCAGUUGAAUGGUGGAAGCAAUUUGGACAUCAAACUCCAAACUUGCAAAAGUUUGCCAUCAAAGUAUUAAGCCUAACUUGUAGUGCAUCUAGAUGCGAGAGAAAUUGCAGCGUACUUGAGCAUAUUCACUCCAAGAAAAGGAAUAGGCUUGAGCUAUCGCGUCUCAAUGAUCUAGUGUAUAGUGUAUAUUAAAUACAAUAGAACAUUGAGGCGACGUUAUGAAGCUCGCGAUACCACUGAUCCAAUUUUGUUGGACAACAUUGACGAGGCAAAUGAAUCGUUAACUGGAGCCCCCCGAAAUCAUGAAGAUGAACAAGUGUAUGAAGGAGAUGAUCUUGAUUGGGGUACUAUUUCUAUGGCGGUUGGAGUUGAAGAGAAUAUCUAUGGACUUAGAGGGAGUUCUUCAAGUUACAAGGGAAAGGGAGUAGCAAGUUCAAGCCGGUCCCUAAUUGAUGAAGAGUCCGAGGAUGAAGAAGAUGAUAGCUAAUAUAAUGCUAACAUUCAUGAAGUUGUAGAAUUUGAAAAUCUUAAAGAAGAUUAGAUGUUGCUUGUUUUAGAGUUUAGACUAUUAGACUUUAAUUUAUGAAUCUACUAUGAGUCUAUGACUAUCUAUUGAGUUUUUGAUUUUAGAAUGAUAUAUUUAUUAAUAUAUUUUUGUUAUUGAGUUUUUAGUUAUAUGUAUAUAAUAUUUUAUUUUUUGUAUAAAUUGUCGCUUCACAUAAAAAAGGCGAGCGCUUCGCUGCGCGCCUCUCGCCUCAGUGAAGCGGGCCCUCGUCGCUAUUUGUCGCCGCACGCUAUCCAAAACACUGGUUCCCUAGUUAAACCCUUUUGAGCCUUGAACCUUUUUGUUGGCAUCCUCAUUACAAGCUUUAUACCUUUAUGCUUAAUUGACCUAUCUUUUGGCACCCUACCUCCUUGAGCAUUAAAAAUUGCAACUUAGGCUUUUAGCCUAAGUUGGGGGGAGUGAAUGGUGAAGUUGUGAACGGGAAGUUGAUGGAAAGGUAAAAGAGAAAAGUUAAAAAAAAAAAAGUGAAAGGAAAA